rnacentral:rRNA from 1 species
UACGUAGGUGGCAAGCGUUGUCCGGAUUUACUGGGCGUAAAGAGCGCGCAGGCGGUCGUUCAAGUCGCGUGUGAAAGCCCCCGGCUCAACUGGGGAGGGUCACGCGUACUGAUCGACUCGAAGGCAGGAGAGGGAAGUGGAAUUCCCGGUGUAGUGGUGAAAUGCGUAGAUAUCGUAAGGAAGACCAGUGGCGAAGGCGGGUCUCUGGACAGUUCCUGACGCUGAGGCACGAAGGCCAGGGGAGCAAACGGG